CGCCGAACCGCGCGUCCACCCGCCAGCCUCCUUACGCUUGAUCCCCUCCGAAUCUUUCACCUCCGCCCCCUCCUCGAUCUCCAGCCUCGAUCACAUCCAUGGAUCGAAUAAAGGCGGAAUCUUUGAGAUCAGGGCAAGAGGGUUUCAUUUGGGUACGAUAAUGGACCAACUGAGCUAGGAACAUUAAAUGAAGCUCUUCAAGAAUUACGUGAUGGAAUUCAGGUUAGAUGAGGUACCGCCGUAGGUAGCAGUAGUACGAUACGACAUUCUGAUGCAACCGCCACCGAUGAUAGAUAUCACGACGAUAGGAACCACGAUUAUGAUGAGUGAGUGGUGAGUUAGACUUUUUGGUAACUUUUGUGGAUUUUUGGAUUGUGUUGAACAUAUUAUGACCUCCUGAUUAUGUAAAUGUUAAUAUUGUUGGAUGUGAAUCGAUGAAUGUAAAUAUUAAUAUUGUUGGAUGUGAAUCGCUGAAUGUGAAUGUGAAUAUUGUUGGAUGUGAAUUGAUGAUUGUGAACGGGAAUAUUGUUGGA